CAGGCAUCAUGAAGAGUCUUAGUCUUUGUAGCUACUGCUUGGUGUUGCAACUGAAGUCCAUUAAAUAAAUCCAGAGUUUCAUCCACCUGAAGAAGUAUAUCAUCACAUGUCUGUAUGCGCUCUGUCAAAGUGUUAACAUAGUGCUGAUACUUCUCCUCUGUCUCUGAUUUCAAGGCUGAUUCAAGAUCUGUAAACCAUUUGU
rnacentral:misc_RNA from 1 species